rnacentral:rRNA from 1 species
GUGGGGAAUAUUGGACAAUGGGGGGAACCCUGAUCCAGCCAUGCCGCGUGUGUGAAGAAGGCCUUUUGGUUGUAAAGCACUUUAAGCGAGGAGGAGGCUACCGAGAUUAAUACUCUUGGAUAGUGGACGUUACUCGCAGAAUAAGCACCGGCUAACUCUGUGCCAGCAGCCGCGGUAAUACAGAGGGUGCAAGCGUUAAUCGGAUUUACUGGGCGUAAAGCGCGCGUAGGUGGCCAAUUAAGUCAAAUGUGAAAUCCCCGAGCUUAACUUGGGAAUUGCAUUCGAUACUGGUUGGCUAGAGUAUGGGAGAGGAUGGUAGAGUUCCAGGUGUAGCGGUGAAAUGCGUAGAGAUCUGGAGGAAUACCGAUGGCGAAGGCAGCCAUCUGGCCUAAUACUGACACUGAGGUGCGAAAGCAUGGGGAGCAAACAGGAUUAGAAACCCUUGUAGUCC